AGUGAACGCUGGCGGUAGGCCUAACACAUGCAAGUCGAACGGCAGCACAGUAAGAGCUUGCUCUUACGGGUGGCGAGUGGCGGACGGGUGAGGAAUACAUCGGAAUCUACUUUUUCGUGGGGGAUAACGUAGGGAAACUUACGCUAAUGCCGCAUACGACCUACGGGUGAAAGCAGGGGAUCUUCGGACCUUGCGCGAUUGAAUGAGCCGAUGUCGGAUUAGCUAGUUGGCGGGGUAAAGGCCCACCAAGGCGACGAUCCGUAGCUGGUCUGAGAGGAUGAUCAGCCACACUGGAACUGAGACACGGUCCAGACUCCUACGGGAGGCAGCAGUGGGGAAUAUUGGACAAAGGGCGCAAGCCUGAUCCAGCCAUACCGCGUGGGUGAAGAAGGCCUUCGGGUUGUAAAGCCCUUUUGUUGGGAAAGAAAAGCAGCAGGUUAAUACCCCGCUGUUCUGACGGUACCCAAAGAAUAAGCACCGGCUAACUUCGUG
rnacentral:rRNA from 1 species